UGGGGAAUUUUGCACAAUGGGCGCAAGCCUGAUGCAGCGACGCCGCGUGAGGGAUGAAGGCCUUCGGGUUGUAAACCUUUUUCGCUCAUGGUCAAGCCGCAGCUUUGGGUUGUGGUGAGGGUAGUGGGUAAAGAAGCGCCGGCUAACUACGUGCCAGCAGCCGCGGUAAUACGUAGGGCGCGAGCGUUGUCCGGAAUUAUUGGGCGUAAAGGGCUUGUAGGCGGUUGGCCGCGUCUGCCGUGAAAUCCUCUGGCUUAACUGGGGGCGUGCGGUGGGUACGGGUUGACUUGAGUGCGGUAGGGGAGACUGGAAUUCCUGGUGUAGCGGUGGAAUGCGCAGAUAUCAGGAGGAACACCGGUGGCGAAGGCGACUUGCUGGACACAAACUGACGCUGAGGAACGAAAGCGUGGGUAGCAAACAGG
rnacentral:rRNA from 1 species